rnacentral:rRNA from 1 species
CUGCUGCCUUCCGUAGGAGUUUGGACCGUGUCUCAGUUCCAAUGUGGGGGACCUUCCUCUCAGAACCCCCUAUCCAUCGUUGUCUUGGUGGGCCGUUACCCCGCCAACUAACUAAUGGAACGCAUCCCCAUCCAUACCGAAAUUCUUUAAUAAUCCA